UUACAGUAUAGUAUUACAUCAAUAAUGAGUACUAAACAUUCUCUAAGAUUACGUUCUGGUUCUGACAUUUUGCAAAGUCAAUCAGUUGAUUGUUUUCUUGUUUAUUAAGAGCGGUUUUCAUAUGCAGUGGUUACAAAUCUUACUAGCAUACUAUUCUACUGAUCCGAUAUCAGUUUUGUUUCACAUAAUUCAUUUAAAAACACUUCAUCUUUGUUGUAACAUUUCUUUUUUAAAUAAAACCUUACAAAAUAGAAAAUACCUAUUUGUUUUCACGAUAAAACAUUUCUUAGACUUCUUGUUUUAUAUGAGAAAGACGGACCUGAUGGUAACAGUAUAUACAUGUAUUCAAUUAUCAAGAUUUCAUCUCGAACUUCAUCCCUUUCAGGUGAGCUAAUCCGAGUUUAUGCUGUUCACCUUUUAGCAAACACAUAUGUUCACUAUUUCAUAGUGAUUCAUGAAGAUACCUAUGAUAUAUUUGGAAUCACAUAAGAAGUUUGUAGGUCUACAAACGUUUGGAAAAUCUAGGGCCAGUUCGUUCGUUUUUCAGUUCUCCACAUUGGGAGAGAGUGAUGCCUUAUGCCACAAAAUACCCCAUCUCGGCAGCUGUCUGUAAAGAGGCUGAUUCAAAGCAAACAAACUAGAGUAAGCAAUGAUCAGGUCAUGAUGCCACAGUCUGGUCAUACCUUCGUUCCACUCAAUCCUGUUCUUAGACUGGUCUAGCCAGAACCAUUGCGCACUGGUGACAGCAUCUUCCUCCGUCCUUUAUCGAGAGUCCUGAAUUCGUGGACAUUUGUUGUUUUUCAUAAUGUCGUUGUGAACAGGAUUCAGUUAUGUAACAGCAUGUGAGUUUGAUGUGUGUGGAAAGCAUGAAGUGAUGCAGGUCAGACGCAUCUGUGAAGCCUGACAUGUUGUCAAAGGCCAUCCAUCGGUGAUGUAACAAUACUGCUACCAUAUUGCCACAUAUAGUUUGUGUAAGUAACAACAUCUUCCAACACAUAUAUUAUUGAGUAUUUUAUUAGGUUGUCCCUACAUCCUCAACAGGACAGAUUACAUGGACACAGUGAUCCUCUGAGGUGCCUUCAGGACAGGUGCAAGAGCUGUUUACAAUUUCUGUCACAACAAUUGACCAUCAAGUAUAUGGCAACUAUAGGACUCUGCUUUGGGGAUAUAAUUCCAUCCAGAAAACAGUUAGACCAUGCAAAUCUGAAUUGUAUGAUUCCUACUGAACUUGUCCAGACUAACAAGCAUUAGGAUUAACAAGGUUUCGUUGCAUGCUAAUUCAGAGUCACUGGUCUGAGGACGAAAAUUGUAAAACUACACUGAAAUGACAAACAUGAAUUACAUAAUCUGUUGUCGGUGAAAACGAA